UACGAAGGGGCUAGCGUUGCUCGGAAUCACUGGGCGUAAAGCGCACGUAGGCGGCUUUCUAAGUCAGGGGUGAAAUCCUGGAGCUCAACUCCAGAACUGCCUUUGAUACUGGAGAGCUUGAGUCCGGAAGAGGUGAGUGGAACUCCGAGUGUAGAGGUGAAAUUCGUAGAUAUUCGGAAGAACACCAGUGGCGAAGGCGGCUCACUGGUCCGGUACUGACGCUGAGGUGCGAAAGCGUGGGGAG
rnacentral:rRNA from 1 species